rnacentral:rRNA from 1 species
AUUGAACGCUGGCGGCAUGCUUUACACAUGCAAGUCGAACGGCAGCACGGGGGCAACCCUGGUGGCGAGUGGCGAACGGGUGAGUAAUACAUCGGAACGUGCCCAGUCGCGGGGGAUAACUACGCGAAAGCGUAGCUAAUACCGCAUACGAACUCUGGUUGAAAGCGGGGGAUCGCACGACCUCGCGCGAUUGGAGCGGCCGAUGGCAGAUUAGGUAGUUGGUGAGGUAAAGGCUCACCAAGCCGACGAUCUGUAGCUGGUCUGAGAGGACGACCAGCCACACUGGGACUGAGACACGGCCCAGACUCCUACGGGAGGCAGCAGUGGGGAAUUUUGGACAAUGGGCGCAAGCCUGAUCCAGCCAUGCCGCGUGCAGGAUGAAGGCCCUCGGGUGGUAGACUGCUGUUGUACGGAGCGAAACGGUCCUGGUUAAUACCCGGGGCUAAUGACGGUACCGUAAGAAUAAGCACCGGCUAACUACGUG